rnacentral:tRNA from 1 species
CGCGGGGUGGAGCAGUCUGGUAGCUCGUCGGGCUCAUAACCCGGAGGCCGCAGGUUCAAAUCCUGCCCCCGCAA